rnacentral:rRNA from 1 species
AUUAAUUUAAUGGCUGCAGUAUUUUAACUGUACAAAGGUAGCAUAAUAAUUAGUUCCUUAAUUAGGGACUGGAAUGAAGGAUUGAACGAGAUAAAAAUUGUCUCUUUUUAAGUUUUAUAAUUUUAUUUUUAAGUUAAAAAGCUUAAAUAAUAUUAAAAGACGAGAAGACCCUAUAGAGUUUUAUAAUUAUAUUAUAUUUAAAUUUUAGAAAUAAAAUUUUAUUUAUUUAAUAAUUAUUUGAUUGGGGUGAUUUUAAAAUUUGAAAAACUUUAAUAUUUUUUACAUUUAUAUAUGAUUAAUUGAUCCAUAAUUUAUGAUUAAAAGAUUAAAUUACCUUAGGGAUAACAGCGUAAUUUUUUUAAAGAGUUCUUAUCGAAAAAAAAGAUUGCGACCUCGAUGUUGGAUUAAAAUAAAUUUUUGGUGUAGAAGCUAAAAUAUUAGGUCUGUUCGACCUUUAAAAUUUUACAUGAUCUGAGUUUAAAUCGGCGUGAGCCAGGUUGGUUUCUAUCUUUAAUUAAAUAAAAUAUUUUAGUACGAAAGGACCAGAUAUUUAUAAAGUUUAUUUAUUUAUGAUUAAUAUUA